rnacentral:tRNA from 1 species
GGGGCAGUGGUGGAAUGGCAGACACGAAAGUCUUAAAAACUUUUGCCUUCGGGCGUGUGGGUUCGAAUCCCACCUGCCUCA